UAGCUAAUGUGACAGUGAGCUGUAAAAGUCUCCUUCCAAAACAGACCAAGGAGAGAGGAGCCAUCAGUCCUGCGUGGCCUUCUGCACUGCGGGAAGUAGGGCAUUUUAUUACAGAACGGCAGGUUGUCACAAAAGCUGAUGCUACAGUCACUUCUUAGCUUGGCAGUUACAGAGUUAAUUUUCUGGGACAGUAUUUUCCCAGGUGGAAAGGCAGCAGAGAAGAGAAGUAUACCUGGGAGAAGAGGUAUUGGGUGGUUGCAUAAAUGCUUCGAUUGGAGCCAGGUAUUCUUGUCAGGAAGUUUGCUGGAUGGCAAAACCGCCUCUCCUACGCUAUCAUUUUGUGGUAAAGAAGGUUGUGUUUGGAUCACGUUCUAAAUAGGCAAAGAUUUGUUUACUAGUUUCAACUAUAAAACCCAGAAGAUUUCUGAUCCCCACUGAAGAAGAGCACAUGUAUGAAACUGUGUAACUUCGCAGUCAACUGUGAAGAGGUGUAACACAAUAAUACCAAGCCAUAAUUGAGAUGCAUUGGAUGUUUAUCAUGACUAUACUGACAAGAAUUUGAUCACCCAGUGCCAUUUAACAGACUGUCUCCCGGAAGUUUGUCCUGCUUUCUAGGUUGUGUUAAUGGUCUGACAGAAGUUCAAAACUUACUGCACAUCUUGUUGGCAAAAAACAAAGGAAACAAAAUGCCCCAAACCAAAACUGUAACAUGCAAAUAGAUACUUCAUCAAUGUAUUCUUUAAAAGAGGAGUUAUCAGUAUGCUUUGUAUUUUUAAAGGAGGUAAAAUAGAACCACUAACAGGACACCCGGGUGUUGUGUCUCAGCUAAACAAUAUGCCUUCAAAAACAUGCUUCUACUUUCACAGUGUUUCUUAUUCACGGCUGACAGAUCAGAGUAGACAUACCUGUUGAUGCUGACCUGCGUGAUAACAUCCCUGUGAAGUUCAUUGGCUAACGACGUGCCAGCAAACCAAGGUGCACUUCGAAUAUAAAGUCGGCAGGGAAUUAACUGGGGCUUUGAUCCCUUUGCCAUCUGGUGGUACUGAACUUAGCAUUCCCUGAGGGGUGGGGAAGGAGUAUUGCUCCUUUUGCAGUAUUUUGCCUACUGGAGAAAGAUAAAGUUGAUUGAAUGGAAUGCUUAAAAAUCAUUGCCACAUCUGAAAGUAUUAUAAGGAGGAAGAUAUUUGUAAAGAUGGAAAGAAGUUGCCAUAAUGUAGUCAAAGCACAAGUAAACUGAGAGAAAAGGCUGUCAGAGAAUGAAGUCAGUCUUCAUCAUUGAUAAAUAUUGGCUUCAUCAAGUGCAGUGCAGGAUGCAACAUCUCCAAGGCAGAAUUUUUUUAAUACUUUCUUUGACAUCACAAGGAGCUGUUGUAUUCCACACUACAUCAAAUAUAUGUUUUCCAGCAGACUUUAUUAACUUAUUAAAUCAGCAAGAAGAAAUAGCCACUUUGUUCUAUUUAAUUUAAAACAAUAAAACUAAAUAAUAAAAGUGUGGCUUCAUAAUGUAGUCUCAUGUUAGAUAAGAAGGUCCUUUAUUCAAUAUUAGAAUUUCUUUCAGUGUUAAUGGAGUUUUCUUUACAUCCAUAUGUUUAAGUACGUGACACAACAUAGGGGCCUAUAUGUUUGAUAGCAUGUGCCGUAUAAUUAAAUGUGAAAAGUCUUUGUUGAUGCAACUAAUAAGGUUCUGAAUUUAAAUGCACACAAGUCUAUAAAGUGAAACUUAUACAAAAUUAAAGAAAAAAGGAAACACGAUUAUUUAGGUUGCAUAUAUUGUAUGUGAAGGUAUGAUAACUUUGAUAAGAACAUCAAGCUUUUAUUUUCAUAGAUUCAUAGAGCUUAAAGCCCUGCCUACCCUGUUGUGUACUACAGCCAUAGACUUUUUCCAGACAACUUCUAUAUUAGAUUCAUGAUGUCCAUGUUGGGGAAAUGUAAAUUUAUGAAUUUAUAAAUGAGAAUUUGUAAAUUUAAUGAAGGUCUGAGUAGUCUAUUGAGCAUGUCACCCUAAGAUAAUGUUGAAAACAGAAUUUAAAGAAUGGGGUGACAUGAGGAGUGAUAAGAAUAUCCAGAACUAGUAAUUUUAAAUCCUUGGCUUCACAAUCUAACCUGUCCCCUAACUAACUGAGGUUUCUCUGUCAGCCGGUCACUUCACUGGUGUACCUGAGAGAAUUUCUUGCACUUUCCUUCCAAGUCACCGACACUAGCUGGACUUGGACAGAAAAAAAUUGUUUGAAGAAGUGAUAUGGGUCUGAUCUGGCAGUUGCUUUGAUAUUAUGCUAUAUAUAUCUGGAAGAAUUACAUCAAUUUUUAAAUCCUGUUCUUGAUUUAUUUCAUAUGCAAUGAUACUGAUAGCCUAGAAAUCCCUCCAAAAGUACUUGGAGCUUAGCUGAAACACAGGGAUGAAUGGCAUGAGGGAGGGUUAUGCGAGUCAAAGCCUGAGUUUGGACCAUCAAAAAAGCCUGUGAUUAAAAACAAAAAAAAAAAAGGGACUUGACUAUCUGUUUGAUUUUUGACACCAUAUCCUAGAAGUUAGUGAAGUCCCAGUCCUUCCUAUUGAAAUAUCAACUCCUAUAGCUUGAGAAAGCGUCUAGAAUUAUAUACAAGUGGCUUGGCUCUUCUGAAAAGAGAAGACCUACCUCAUAAUUCUCAUUUCUUGAAUUCAUGUUAAAGCCAACAGGAGCUCUGGAUACCUGGUGCCAUGUCAAGGAAGUGCUCAGUUUGCCCACUGCAACUCUGAGCUCAGACUCUUGGGUUGUAAAUAUGGAGGAACUUGUCAAAUAUCUUGUUUCGGAGCGUGAAUGUGUUUGUUACUCUCAAGUCUGUGACAGAUUUGGAAUAGCAAUUUUUUGAACUGACAAAAGCUUUCAAGAGCACCAACAGUAACAGCGUGUCAGUUUUAACAGUGAAUUUGGUGUCUUCUGUCAAUUUGUGAAACCCCUGUUAUGUUAUUUUAAAUGUUUCUACGUUAUUUUAGGUGUUUAUUUUUGCAUUUGAUAUAAAUGUCUUGAAAAUAUUUGGAGGCUACAGUUCCAGCUUUUUGAUUUGUGCUCAUGCUUUACUUAAUCCACCUGUU